rnacentral:rRNA from 1 species
CCAGACUCCUACGGGAGGCAGCAGUGGGGAAUCUUCCGCAAUGGACGAAAGUCUGACGGAGCAACGCCGCGUGAGUGAUGACGGCCUUCGGGUUGUAAAGCUCUGUUAAUCGGGACGAAAGGCCUUCUUGCGAAUAGUGAGAAGGAUUGACGGUACCGGAAUAGAAAGCCACGGCUAACUACGUGCCAGCAGCCGCGGUAAUACGUAGGUGGCAAGCGUUGUCCGGAAUUAUUGGGCGUAAAGCGCGCGCAGGCGGAUCGGUCAGUCUGUCUUAAAAGUUCGGGGCUUAACCCCGUGAUGGGAUGGAAACUGCCAAUCUAGAGUAUCGGAGAGGAAAGUGGAAUUCCUAGUGUAGCGGUGAAAUGCGUAGAUAUUAGGAAGAACACCAGUGGCGAAGGCGACUUUCUGGACGAAAACUGACACUGAGGCGCGAAAGCCAGGGGAGCGAACGGGAUUAGAUACCCCGGUAGUCCUGGCCGUAAACGAUGGGUACUAGGUGUAGGAGGUAUCGACCCCUUCUGUGCCGGAGUUAACGCAAUAAGUACCCCGCCUGGGGAGUACGACCGCAAGGUUGAAACUCAAAGGAAUUGACGGGGGCCCGCACAAG